AGUUCUGGCUGUCACGGCAUGAAAGUGUCAUAGGAAAAAUUGUUCGGGCUCGACGUCGACAAAGGCAGCGACGUCGACGUCAGCAUGAAAUUCUGACCAGCUUCAACUGCUGCAGAUCGAAGCUGACUCGUAAGAAAGAGAAGCAGAUAUCCAUAGAUUUCCCUCUCUCUCAUAUUUUUAGUUUUCUCUACCUGCAUUCGACCCUAACUCUUCUACUCUCGCGCAUUUCGUCUCCUCAAAGGGAUGAGGGGAGAAAAACCGAUUAUUUGGUGCAAUCUUUUGUUGCGAGCGGCUGUGAUUUUUUUGAGUUGAGCGUCUUUUUACAUGUUAUUCUUUUUAAAAGUGGUUUUUCAGUGUUUUUAAAGUCAGAUCAAAACAAUUCUGAAGUCAAAAUCAAAAUAUUAGUCCAGGAGUAAUUGUUUAAAAUGCCUCAAAGGAGCAUUGGUGCUUAUUAACCUGAUCGAGUCAGUUAAGAAAGGCCCUACAGAUAAUUAAAAAUAAUUAAAUCAAUGAAAAAUCUAGAAAAUCUGUGUAAAAUAAAUAUAUUUACUUUUA